rnacentral:pre_miRNA from 1 species
UGGGAGAAUGACAAAUUAGAUUUUUUCUCUUGAUUUUCAGCUUUUUUUCUUGAAAAAAUUCAAAUCCAACUAAAAAUGCUAAAAAUUGGGAGGAAAAAUCUCAUUUGUCAUAUAAUCCCU